CAGGUUUUGAAUGGGAAUAAAUAGACAAAACAUGAACAGGCUCAGGACAUUCCUGGUGGUGAGAGCCUUUGAAGGCUAGGGCAGUACUGAGGGUACAGAGUGACCAGUUAGCAAAAGCCAGGAGGUGAAGGGACAAGAACUGAGGUGACGCCUGUGACAGAAGACCAUGGAUCCAGAGAAGUGCUGCUUGAGCAGCAUGACCACUGGCCCUAAUGUGCAGCCUAGAUGUUUUUUCUGCUCCAAAGUAAGAACAGAGGGGAGGAAAUGAGCAAACCUUUCCCAAAAGCACAACUUGAGACCUUACAGGAACAAGUCUCCAGACUGCAGGAAUUCCAGGUUUCAUGGGAAAAAAAU